UACGGAGGAUCCAAGCGUUAUCCGGAAUCAUUGGGUUUAAAGGGUCCGUAGGCGGUCAGGUAAGUCAGUGGUGAAAGCCCAUCGCUCAACGGUGGAACGGCCAUUGAUACUGCUUGACUUGAAUUACUAGGAAGUAACUAGAAUAUGUAGUGUAGCGGUGAAAUGCUUAGAGAUUACAUGGAAUACCAAUUGCGAAGGCAGGUUACUACUAAUGGAUUGACGCUGAUGGACGAAAGCGUGGGUAGCGAACAGG
rnacentral:rRNA from 1 species